ensembl:lncRNA
CGAUCAAAUACUUAUGUCAUGCAAUAAAAUGAAAAUGUAUUAUUUUAAAAUCAUACAAUGUGAUUUUCUGUAAAUUUUUGUUUUUGAUUCUGUCUCUCACAGUUGAAGUGUACCUAUGAUAAAAAUUACAGACCUCUAAAUGUUUUGUAAAUAGGAAAACCUGCAAAAUCGGCAGUGUAUCAAAUAUUUGUUCUCCCCACAGUAUGUACAGCUCUGGAAAAAAAUUAAGAGACCACUGCAAAAUUAUCAGUUUCUCUGGUUUUAUUAUUCAUAGAUAUGUGUUUGAGUAAAAUGAACAUUUGUUUUAUUCUGUUAACUACUGACAGAAUUAAUCCCAAAUUCCAAACACAAAUAUUGUCAUUUAGAGUAUUUAUUUGUACAAAACAACUGGACAAAAUAUACCAAAAAAUAUUGUUUUACAAAAAUUCCCCAGAUCUCAAUCCAAUCGAGCAUCUUUGGGAUGUGCUGGACAAACAAGUUCGAUCCAUGGAGGCCUCACCUCACAACCUACAGGACCUAAAGGAUCAGCUGUUAACGUCUUGGUGCAAGAUACCACAGCACACCUUCAGAGGUCUAGUGGAGUCCAUGCCCCAACGGGUCAGGGCUGUUUUAGCGGCAAAUUGUGGACCUACAAAAUAUUAGUUGCAUAGUGCAGGGGAGGAAGAGUUUGGACAGCAAGAAACAGUUAUGUCAACCUCUUUGCUAAUGUCUUCUGUCAGUCAAAACAAAGGUCUGGUGGUUCGAGGUGACAGCAUGCAGUCAGACAGUAGUGGCUAUGCUGAUGAAGACAUCUCUUCAGUCCACUCACCUGGAAGAGACAAGAGCUGAGAGAGGAGUUCCAGCCCAAAUGAAUGUGCAAGCAACCAACUGAAUCAGCUGAUGGAUGCGAGCCACAACAGACUGCUAUAUAUGUGGCUGAUACGUGACCUAUUACUUGCAGUAUCUUUGCGUUGUGGUCAGGCAGGAACUCACCACAACUUUUAGAGAACUGAACAGAGAAUUGUUAACACAAGAAACACUGAAAACAAGUUCAGCCACUGGAGGUAUAUUCGGCAUGUCGAAUAUUAAAAGGUAUUUCUUCCCUUCAUGUUAGUGUUACUGAUUAAAUUAUGAAUUGUAUAUAACAACUCAUUGUAUAACAAGUUGUUACCCGAAAGAUGUUACACUGGAGAUAAUCAACACACAGUUUAAUUAAAGAAAUAAGGCAUGAGUAGGUGUGGUGUAAUGGCCAAUAUCCUACAGCUAAAAGCUGUUCUUACGCACAACCCAACCUGGAGUGCUUCGAUACAGCGCUCAGCUGGCGUAUAAUAGUAAUAAACUAAACAUAAAGGUGCAAAGUGCUCAGGAAUAAAAAUUAUAUAAAAGUACUCUGAGGCAUAAAGUCAAAACUUUUGUUUUAUCAUUUUCCAUUUUUGGACCUUUGUUUAGUUUUCAGCAUUGUUUAAAUUAUAAUUAGUUAUAUCUCAGCUUCCUUGGAUUUUUUAAAAAUUUUAGGCUGCGCUCAAACCCUCUCUCAGCUGUACUCCGUAUGUAAGCAAUAUACCACAAACCUGGGAAGUGCCUUUUCGCUAUUAAAAAUGAACAAUUAGAGCAAUUUUGUUUUGUCAUACCCUUAAUAUGUGAUCUGAUAUAGGGUUCAACCCACUGUUUAUAAUUGUGAUUGUCCUCUGUGAACAUGUAGAGACAC